CAGGUGGCGAGAUAGCCUGGC
rnacentral:siRNA from 1 species